UAAGAAGGGUAUGAAGGUUUUAGUAGAGAAGAAACUUAUACCGGAUAUUACUUUUAGUGACUCGGAAUUUUGUGAGCAUUGUGUUUAGGGAAAACAUCAUAAGCAGAGCUUCAAAGCCGGGAAUCAUACAAGUAAAGAUAUUAUUGACUACAUUUGUACGGAUGUGUGGAGUUCUCCUACUACUUCAUAUGGUGGUGCCAAUUAUUAUAUAUCAUUUAUUGAUGACUUUGAGGAUCAAAAUGGCAACCUAAGAGGGGGGGUGAAUUAGGUUUCUAAAAUAAAAGUCCAAAUAAUCAAGCAAAUUAAAAACUGAUGCAAAUGCAAACUCGAAAAGCACACGAUCAAUUUGUUUCGAGGUUCGGCACUUUGCCUACGUCCCCGCCAACUUCUCAACACUCGAGAAUGUUGGAUCUCCACUAGAUGAUGCUUUUGCGGGCAAGCACCAAGCCUUCACAUCAACUCCUUCUUCUUUCAAGCUUCAAGAAUUUGCUUUUUUCUCUUUUUACAAGAUUAAAUCUCACUACAAGUUUCACUCAAGUUUAGAGAGAGAAAUGAGAGCUAAGAGUAUUAAGAUCACUGAAGUUUUUAAGCUCAAAAUGAACUAUCAAAAUUGCUACUAAGAGAGGCCUCAAUAUCAUCUAUUUAUAGCCUCGGGCAGCCUCUGUUGGUUGCACUUUCGGGCGCCCUAAAACUGUUUCCGGGCGCCCAGAAGUUCGUGCACGCCAGCUGCCUGUCGGACCACGUGCGCCGCUUUUCUUGACUUUGUAUGUUUGGGCCGUCAAAAAUUUGUGGGCGCCCAGAUCUCGAGGAACAGCUUUUCUGACACGCGCAGCUUUUCUUGACUUCGUAAGUUCUGGGCCGUCAAAAGUUGUGGGUGCACAGAACACGAGGAACCGCUUUUCUGACACGCGCCGCUUCCUCUGGAUUUGGGCCAUCAGAAAUUGUGGGCGCCCAGAUCUCGAGGGACAACUUUUCUGACAUGCGCCGUUUUUCUGGAUUCGAGCCGUCAAAAGUUGUGGGCGCCCAGAACUCGUGCUGACUUUCUUGCCAGACAGCCCAGAUUGCGUGCGCCGCUGCUUCCAUAAAAUCUGGGCGCCCAGAUUUUGCGCCGCCUGUUGUCGCAACCUGUCAAGUCAAAUAGUCUUGGUGUUUCUGGAUCACCCGAACAGCAAACAGGCAGGAUCCAAAAGGUCUCAAAAGAUUCGGAUCCACUUUAGGGCGCCCAGAACAGGGUCCAGAAAUUGCAACUUUACAGAACACAGAAUUUGAGCAAUUUUUGAAUAUUUAAAAGUCCUUUUCACCUAAUCAUAAAUUUAGAAAUUUGUUUAAGUGAUCUAUAAGGUGAUAAGAUGAAUAGUUUAAACUUAGCUCAAAGUUUCUCACUCUAAUCAUAAAGCAUAAUAUUAAUCAAAUUAAGAAUGGAGAGAGUGAGUUUGUCUAUUUGACAAAAGAAGCAAACACAGCUUCAAGUGGUGAAGCUUGGUGCUAGAAUAUUGCCCAUCUUGAAUCCUUUUUGAAGAUAGAGAGAUCUAAAACACAAGACUCAAGAUAAAAGAUUAGUCCAAUAAUCGUGAUUAUUUGUUAUCAUCAAAAUCUAAUAGACGAUUAGGGCCACUAGGCCAACAAUCUCCCCCUUUUUGAUGAUGACAAAUAAUGUGAUAUAAUAUCCAAAUGAGUAGAGAGUAAAAGAGUAGAAUACUCCCCCUAAAUAUAUGCAUAUAUUUAACAAGCAUAAAACACAAUCAUAGGCAUAGCAUAUAUCACAAUAAAAGAAGUAAGCAAUCAUGUAGGCAAAUGUCAAAAUAUAAACGAGAUUCACAUAGCCUAACAUAAUAAAACAUAAGCAGCAUAAUAAACCAUAACCAUAGCAUAGUAUAUCACAUAGCAAGUUCUCCCCCUUUGUCAUCACAAAAAAAAGCAUAAAAGUGGUAAAAAAAUAAGCUAAUCAUCAUCAUCAUCGUUAUCCUCUUCAUCGUCCUCAUGAUUUGUAGGCGAAACUGGUGGAGGCAUAGUGGAGGAGGAUGGUCGAUCAGUGUGGGGUCCAUACGCGGCAUAAAAGGCACUCGAAGGUCCAAAGAGGGAGUCCAUGUAUGCCUUAAUGCCGGAAACGUCUGUCUGGAGAGCAUGCAUAUGGUCUUCCAUCCUAUCAAGUCGAUCAAAAACCUGGUUUUGAAAAUCCAUAGGUGGAGGAACAUAGGGUGGAGGCACAGCAGGGGGUGGCUCAAAUGGUGGAGGAGAUGCUCGUGGCGGCGGCUCAACCGGUGGAGAAGGUGCUCGAGGGGGCGGCUCAUAAGGCAUAGGAUCAUCCUCGGCGUCGUCAAUGUCAUCACCAUGCUCGCUAGGCGAAUCAAUCACAUGUUUCCUUACCCAAAUGCCAUGACGAUUUUUCUUGAAGCCGAGAGUGGAGAAAGUGGCUGUAGAAAUGGCAGUGGGGUACUUCAUCGGCCUUACGUCAGAAAGAUCAAAUGACAUGAACUCGAGAACAGCGGUGAGCAAAGAGCCAUAUGGAAGUGAGCGCGAGGGAUGAGAAAUGGCGACGGCCAUGUGGCGAAUGAUGAUAUACCCCAAAUUUACCCGGAUCCCCGCAAAUAGAUGAUGAAGUAGAAAAAGAUCCAUUUUUUGAACAGCGGUGUGGUGACCGUCGCGAGGAAGAACUACUUUAGUUAGUAAAAAGUGGGCGAGGCGGUGAGGAAAGGAAAGAUGAGAGCAAUCUUCUCGUGAAGUAGAUUCUUCACAAAGAAAAUGAUUGCGGAGUUGCGCCUCAGAAAAUGCAGGAAAGUUCCAAGUGUUGGUUUGAUAAUAGCAAACCCCGUCAUUAGGAAUGUUCAAAACAGUGUGAAGAAGGAUAGGAGUGAUGGCAAAAACACGUCCCCGGAAGUGGGAAGUAAUAGUAGUAUAUUCGGAAUUAAAAGUGGCAUUUGCAUAAAAAGUCCUAAUUAGAUCCGGAUAAAAUGGUCGCGAAUUUUGAACAAAGAAAUCCCAUCCAACUUGUGUGAGUUUAUCCAAAAGUUCAUAGCAAUCAAAAUUGAGAUGAUGAAUAUUACGGCAAGGUUGAACGGGACGACCUAAAAGAUAUUUAUCUUGAGCCUCUCUAGAUACAAAGUUAAAAGCAUCAAAAUCUUCAUUUUGAUCAUAUCUAUGUGAGGGAGAUCCUCUUCUAGAUGCAUUUUUAGUUCUAGGCAUUUUUUUUUUUUUUUUUUUUUUUUAUGUAAAAAUCUGAAAGCUAGGGUUAAAAAAAAAGGAAAUCAAAAUACAAGAUCUAGGAUGCAAUGGUAAAGAUCAUGGUAGAGGAAAAGAUUAUGAUGCACAAAAUACAAAAAUAGAUAAAUGAGGAACACAGUUGGGGUUAACAGUAAAAAAAAAUUAAUGCUAAAGAUGAACAAAAUGCAAUAUCUAAGAUGCUAAGAUGUAAAUCUAGGUAGAGGAUGAGAUUAUGGUGCAAGAAGUACAAGAGAUCUGCAAAAAAAAAAAAUUAAAAAAAAAUUGCAAGCUUAGGGUUAACAGCAGGAAGAAGAACAAAAAAAAAUGGAGAGGAAAUACCACUGAUAGAGGAGAAGAUGAGAGGAGAUCUGAGUGCUGGAGAAGAUUUGGGCGGUUCUGAAGAGGGCUGGGCGCAAGAUCUGGGCGACCGGACGGAGAGGAGGAAGAAGAAGGAAAAAAAAAUGGAAGAUAGGGCUUGUCGGGCUGCUGGGGACGACAAGGGGGCCCGCUAGCGGGUUUCGGGCGCUCAUGCGGGUCGGCGAGGUCGCCCGGAUCCGCAACCCGGAACCCGCCACGGCGGUCAAAGCGGCGCGGCGGUCAAAGCGGGCGCGAGUGCGGGUCGGAUCGAUCGCCCGGAUCCGGAACCCGGUAACCCGCCAGCACGGUCAAACCGGCGAGGCGGUCAAAGCGGGUUUUCGGGUGCGGGUGCGAACCGAGUGGUCGCCCGGAUCCGAAGCCCGUUAACCCGUUAGGUCGGUCAGACGGUGCACUGUGUGGUCAACACAUGUUUCGGGCGCCCGAAAAUUUUCGGGCGACCGGAAAUUUUCGUCCGUAAAAUGUGCAAAACAAAAAGGUGUAAAAAAAAAUAAUAAAAUUGCAAGGCAAAUAUAACAGUGAAAAAGGAGAAAAUCAAGCAGAUAAAUCAAUCAUUCCUAAUUCUCUUCUAAGUUGAGUGAACCUAUCCUCACUAAGUGGUUUAGUAAAAAUGUCCGCUAAUUGAUUACAAGUGUCCACAAAUUCUAUAGUGACAUCUUCUUUUUGAAUAUGAUCUCUAAUAAAAUGAUGUCUAAUUUCAAUGUGUUUAGUUCUAGAAUGUUGAAUAGGAUUUUUAGAUAUGUUGAUGGCACUAGUAUUAUCACAUUUGAUUGGAACUUGUUUUUGAUGUACUCCAAAGUCCUCAAGGGUUUGUUUCAUCCAUAAAACUUGUGCACAACAACAACCUGCCGCGAUGUACUCGGCUUCGGCGGUUGAAAGUGCAACCGAAUUUUGCUUUUUCGAAGACCAUGAGACUAAGGAGUGACCAAGAAAUUGACAAGUCCCACUCGUACUUUUCCGAUCAACUUUGCAUCCGGCAAAGUCGGCAUCUGAAAAGCCAAUGAGAUUAAAAUUAGUGCCCUUGGGAUACCAUAACCCUAAGUUGAGAGUCCCUUUAACAUAUCUAAGAAUUCUCUUUACAGCCACUAAGUGUGACUCCUUAGGUUGAGCUUGAAACCGAGCACACAAGCAAACACUAAACAUAAUGUCCGGCCGACUCGCGGUAAGAUAAAGUAAACUGCCAAUCAUACCUCGGUAGAGUUUGAUAUCAACAUCCUUGCCUUUUUCAUCCUUGUCAAGUUUAGUUGAGGCACUCAUUGGAGUGUUCGUCUCUUUUGAGCUUUCCAAGCCAAAUCUUUUGAUUAGGUCUUUUGCAUACUUGGCUUGAUUGAUGAAUAUUCCAUCUUUCAUUUGUUUAACUUGGAGUCCAAGGAAGAAUGAGAGCUCGCCCAUCAUGCUCAUUUCAAACUCAUUUUGCAUUAGCUUAGAGAAUUCUUUACAGAGAGAUUCAUUAGUAGCACCAAAUAUAAUAUCAUCCACAUAAAUUUGUACAAUGAGAAAAUCUUUAUCCUUAAUUUUGAUAAAUAAUGUGGUGUCAACUUUUCCUCUUGAAAAAUUAUUUGAAGUAAGAAAAGUGCUAAGUCUUUCAUACCAGGCUCUAGGAGCUUGUUUUAAACCGUAAAGUGCCUUUGAAAGCUUAAAAACGUGAUCCGGAAAGUUAUGUUUUUCAAAACCGGGUGGUUGCUCAACAUAAACUUCUUCGGAAAUAUAUCCAUUUAAGAAAGCACUUUUUACAUCCAUUUGAAAUAAUUUGAAAUUCAUAUAAGAAGCAAAUGCUAGAAGAAUUCGAAUAGCUUCAAGUCUAGCAACCGGUGCAAAUGUUUCAUCAAAAUCAAUUCCUUCAAUUUGGUUGAAACCUUGGGCCACUAGUCUAGCCUUGUUUCGAACCACAACACCUGAUUCAUCUCGCUUGUUUCGGAAGACCCAUUUAGUGCCAAUAACGGUAUGAUCACUUGGCCUUUCCACAAGCGUCCAAACUUGGUUCCUCUCAAAUUGGUUAAGUUCUUCUUGCAUCGCAAUGAGCCAAUUUUCAUCAUUGCUAGCUUCAACAAAAUUUUUAGGUUCAAUUUGAGAUAUGAAAGCCAAGUGGUCACAAAGUAAUCUAAGAGAGGAUCUUGUUUUGACUUUUUGACUUGGAUCUCCAAUGAUGGAGUCCUUGGGAUGAUAAGUGGCGAAUUUCCACACUUUAGGUAAGGGAGUGGGUUCAAUCUCUUUAGAGAUUAACUCCUCACUUUUCUUAGAUGGUUCAACUUCUUGGGGUGUGGAGUUUAUAUUUAGCUUCUCAAAGUCAAGAAGAUCAUCUUCAUAAGAAAGAUCCUUUCCCUUAUAUUCUUCAAAAAGAAUAUGCAUACUUUCCUCUAUUAUUAAAGUUCGUCGAUUAUACACUCGAUAAGCUUUACUAGUAGAGGAAUAACCCAAGAAUAUAGCUUCAUCGGAUUUAGCAUCAAACUUUCCCAACUUGUCUUUUGUGUUUAAAAUGAAACAUUUACAACCAAAAAUUUUGAAGUAACCAAUAUUGGGAGUUCUAUUAUGCCAUAAUUCGAAAGGAGUUUUCUCAAGGAUUGGUCGAAUUAGAACACGAUUCAUAAUAUAGCAAGCCGUGUUUACGGCUUCGGCCCAAAAAUAUUUAGGCAACUCCCCCUCAAUUAACAUAGAUCUAGCCAUUUCUUGGAGAGAUCUAUUUUUGCGUUCAACGACCCCAUUUUGUUGAGGUGUUCGAGGGGUAGCAAAUUGAUGUUCUAUUCCCAAUUCAUUGCAAAACUCUUCAAAGUUAUGAUUUUCGAAUUCACCUCCAUGAUCACUUCUAAUUUUGGAAAUUAUACAAUUCUUUUCAUUUUGAACACGAUAGACAAAGUCCUUGAAGGAUUUAAAAGUAUCAUACUUGUGUCUUAAAAAUAAAGUCCAAGUAAAUCUUGAGUAAUCAUCAACAAUUACGAAAACAUAGUUGCUUCCACCAAGGCUAGAGACAUCAAUUGGUCCAAAGAGAUCCAUAUGAAUUAACUCUAAAGGCCUAGUUGUUGAGACAACAUUUUUGGGUUUAAAAGAUGAUUUUACUUGCUUAGCUUGAGCACAAGCAUUACAAACCUCACCUUUGGCAUAGUCUAUUUUAGGUAAUCCUUUCACAAGUUUUCUUUUGGAAAGUUUAGAAAGAGAGUCCAUAUUAGCAUGUGCUAACCUUCUAUGCCAAAGCCAAGAUUCGUUAGUUUGAACUGAAAAACAUUUUUCACCUUCAUGUGAGAGUUUGCCUAAAUCAACGGUAUAAACAUUCUUGGAUCUAAAACCCAUAAAAGCUACCUCAUUUGUAGAAGGAUCAAGAAUGCUACAAUGAGAUGCUUCAAAUUUUACAAAAUAGCCUUUAUCACAUAAUUGACUAAUACUUAGUAAAUUAUGUUUAAGGCCAUCAACUAAAAGAACAUUGGAAAUGUUAACCUUUUCAUCACCGAUUGUGCCGAUUCCAAUGAUCUUUCCUCUAGUGUUGUCUCCAAAGGUGACAAAUCCUCCAUCUUUCAUUUCAAUUGAUUUAAACUUGGUUUGAUCCCAAGUCAUGUGUCUUGAGCAUCCGCUAUCUAAGUACCAUUUGUCACUUGCACCUUUUGAUUGGAGACACACCUACAAAAACAAAUCAAGUUUUUAACUUUGGUACCCAAGUGAGAUUGGGUCCUUUUGUGUUAGAUAAACCUUUCACAACCCAAAUUUGGUUAAGUUUAGGAUUCUUCUUAUAUUUACAAGAGGAAAUAUGAUGUCCUUUAAUAUUACAAUAGGAACAAUGCAAAGUUGGGUUUUGAGUUGUACUUUUAACAAAAACCUUUCUCUUAGCUUUUGUCAAUUUAACAUUGUUUGGAUUAGGAGCAUAACCUAUCCCAAACUUUUUGAAGUUUACAACUUGAUUUCCAAGCAUCAUAUUUAGAUACUUGGUUCCUCCAACGAAUUUCUCAAGAGUUCUCUUAGUUUCACCUAAGCUAACUUUGAGUUGUUGGUUUUCAACUUGAAGUUUUUCAAAUUGUUUGUCAUAAUGAAGAAUUGGCUUAAAAUUUAGAUCUUCAAUUUUCUUCUUUAAUGCUUCAUUUUCACGAAUGAGACUACAACAUGUCUCAUUAGCUUGUUUAAGCUCUUUCGUGAGUAAAGAGUCCUCAUUUUCAAGUAUUAAAGAAGGAUUUGAAGUUGAAAAUUUUAAGUUGUUAACCUCCAUCUCUAAUAAGGCAUUUUGCUUUUUGAGAGAUGUAUACUUGGGACCCAAACUUUGUAGAUUAUCAUAUAAAGAAAAGAAAGCUUCUAAAAGUUCUUCAUAACUUAAAUUGUUUACCUCAUCUUCAAGAGCCAUAAGACAUAGGAUUGAGCUUUGCUCCUCGAGGCAAAUUUGGGCAACUUCGUUUUCCGAUUCAUCAUCGCUAGAUUCGUCGGGGGCGUCCCAAUUUAGUGCAUUGAAGGCUUUCUUUUUCUUGUCUUUCUUAAAGGUUUUGUUUGGAAGAGUGCAUUCACUUUUCAAAUGUCCCGGUUUAUUACAAUUGUAGCAAAUGAUACCUUUCUUGAAUCCUUCACCUUUGAACCCGUCUCGUUUAGGUCUCCUCAAGUUGCGCUUCUUGAUUAGUCGAUCGAGCCUUUUUGAAAUCAUAGCGAUUUCUUCGCUCGAACCUUCUUCGCCAUCUUCACUCUCGGAAGCAAUGACUCCCUUAAGUGCAAGGCUUUUCUUUUUCUCAGGAGCCUCUUCGUUGUCAUAUUCUUUGAGGCGUUGUUCAUGCGCCAUGAGUGAUCCAACAAGUUCAUCAAUUUUUACUUUGUCCAAGUCAUGAGCUUCUUGGAUAGCCGUAACCUUAGGUAUCCAACUUCUUGGUAGUACACGAAGAAGUUUUCGUACCAAGUCCGAUUGAGGAAAAUCCUUACCUAAGGCUUUCAAGCUAUUUAUAAUGUUAGUAAAUCUUGUGAACAUAUUCGAAAUGGAUUCACUUUCCUCCAUUUUGAAUAGUUCAUAAUUUGACAUAAGCAUGCUUAUUUUAGAUUCCUUCACCCUAGAAGUACCUUCAUGAGUAACUUCUAAUUUAUCCCAAAUCUCUUUAGCCGUUGUACAUGUAGAGAUUCGGUGAAACUCUUCUCUACUGAGAGCGCAAAGGAAUGAAUUGAUAGCUUUAGCAUUCAAUUGAAAGCGAAAUUUUUCGGCUUCAUUCCAUUCCGCUCUUGAUUUUGAUGGAGCGAUAUAACCACUUUCGAUUAUAUCCCAAAUAUCAAAAUCUAGAGAUUGAAAGAAUAUCUUCAUUCUAAUCUUCCAAAAAGGAUAAUCGGUCCCAUCAAAAAAUGGUGGCCGAACAAUAGAUUGUCCUUCGAUAUUCUUUCCCGUGGAUGCCAUUCUCACUUAGAUUUUAAUCUAAAUAAUGUGAGACCUCGCUCUGAUACCAAUUGAGGAUCAAAAUGGCAACCUAAGAGGGGGGGUGAAUUAGGUUUCUAAAAUAAAAAUCCAAAUAAUCAAGCAAAUUAAAAAACCGAUGCAAAUAAAAGAAAUGCAAACUCGAAAAGCACACGAUCAAUUUGUUUCGAGGUUCGGCACUUUGCCUACGUCCCCGCCAACUUCUCAACACUCGAGAAUGUUGGAUCUCCACUAGAUGAUGCUUUUGCGGGCAAGCACCAAGCCUUCACAUCAACUCCUUCUUCUUUCAAGCUUCAAGAAUUUGCUUCUCUCUCUUUUUACAAGAUUAAAUCUCACUACAAGUUUCACUCAAGUUUAGAGAGAGAAUUGAGAGCUAAGAGUAUUAAGAUCACUGAAGUUUUUAAGCUCAAAUGAACUAUCAAGUUGUUACUGAGAGAGGCCUCAAUAUCAUCUAUUUAUAGCCUCGGGCAGCCUCUGUCGGUUGCACUUUCGGGCGCCCUAAAACUAUUUCCGGGCGCCCAGAAGUUUGUGCACGCCAGCUGCCUGUCGGACCACGUGCGCCGCUUUUCUUGACUUUGUAUGUUUGGGCCGUCAAAAAUUUGUGGGCGCCCAGAUCUCGAGGAACAGCUUUUCUGACACGCGCAGCUUUUCUUGACUUCGUAAGUUCUGGGCCGUCAAAAGUUGUGGGCGCACAGAACACGAGGAACCGCUUUUCUGACACGCGCCGCUUCCUCUGGAUUUGGGCCAUCAGAAAAUGUGGGCGCCCAGAUCUCGAGGGACAACUUUUCUGACAUGCGCCGUUUUUCUGGAUUCGAGCCAUCAAAAGUUGUGGGCGCCCAGAUCUCGUGCUGACUUUCUUGCCAGACAGCCCAGAUUGCGUGCGCCGCUGCUUCCGUAAAAUCUGGGCGCCCAGAUUUCGCGCCGCCUGUUGUCGCAACCUGUCAAGUCAAACAGUCUUUGUGUUUCUGGAUCACCCGAACAGCAAACAGGCAGGAUCCAAAAGGUCUCAAAAGAUUCGGAUCCACUUUCGGGCGCCCAGAACAGGGUCCAGAAAUUGCAACUUUACAGAACACAGAAUUUGAGCAAUUUUUGAAUAUUUAAAAGUCCUUUUCACCUAAUCAUAAAUUUAGAAAUUUGUUUAAGUGAUCUAUAAGGUGAUAAGAUGAAUAGUUUAAACUUAGCUCAAAAUUUCUCACUCUAAUCAUAAAGCAUAAUAUUAAUCAAAUUAAGAAUGGAGAGAGUGAGUUUGUCUAUUUGACAAAAGAAGCAAACACAGCUUCAAGUGGUGACGCUUGGUGCUAGACUAUUGUCCAUCUUGAAUCCUUUUUGAAGAUAGAGAGAUCUAAAACACAAGACUCAAGAUAAAAGAUUAGUCCAAUAAUCGUGAUUAUUUGUUAUCAUCAAAAUCUAAUAGACGAUUAGGGCCACUGGGCCAACAGACUUCUCACGGAAUGUUUGGGUGAAAUUUCUCAAGUCGAAAGGUGAGGCAUUUCAAGCAUUUAAGCACUUCAAGGCCGAAGUAGAGAAUCUCACCGGAUGCCGCAUUAAAGUUCUCCGAUCGGACAAUGGUUCGGAGAACAAAUCUAAAGAGUUUGAGCUCAUUUGUAAAGAGAAUGGCGUCUCAAGACACUAUACAAAUCCGUAUGAUGCACAACAAAAUAGGGUGGCCGAGAGGAUGAACCGUACAUUGAUGGAGCGGGCUCGUAGCAUGUUGAGCAAUGCCAGUUUGGAGCACGAGUUAUGGGCCGAGGCCGUGUCCAUGGCAUGCUAUCUUGUCAACCGCUCACCUUCUAUGUCUAUAAAUGGGGAACUCAUUGUGAUUAUUCUAAUGUAAAAAUAUUUGGUUGUCAUGCUUAUGCAUUGGUCCCUCGUUGUCAAAGAACUAAGCUAGAUUCAAGAUCAAGAAAAUGCAUAUUUGUUGGUUAUACAAAAGGUGUGAAAGGAUACCAGUGAUGGUAUCCGGUGGCCCACAUAAUUAUCACAAGUUGUGAUGUUCAUUUUGAUGAAUCAAAUGUGUUGAAAAAGGGUGUAGAACAUGAAAGCAUCGAGGAGGAAGAAAUUCGAAAUGAUACUCAAAAUUUUGAGCUACCAUCUUCAACUUUCUCACCAAAUGAAAAUAUUGAAUCGGAGGAUACACUGGUUGAAUAUGGUGAGGUCGAUGAUCAAAUCCAUGAAAAUUCUAAUGAAGGGGAAAGUUCUCAUGAAGGUGGAGAAAUAUAUGACUUGUCUCGACGUUCUACCAGAGAGUAGCACACACCUUUGCAUUUGAAUGAUUUUGUAGAUCCAAGUACAUUUCGGGCACUAAUUGUGGAAUAAGAAGAGCCAUGUACAUUUCUAGAAGCCAUAAAUUCUAUUGAUGCAAAGCAUUGGAAAGAAGCAAUGGAGGAAGAAAUUGUGGCACUUCACAAGAAUGAAGCUUGGAAUUUGGUGGAGUUACCAAAGAGCCGGAAAGCAAUUGGUUGCAAGUGGGUGUACAAAAUCAAAAGAGGAACCGAUGGGACAAUUCAAAGAUAUAGAGCAAGAUUGGUUGCUAAUGGCUUCGCACAAAAGGAAGGUAUGGAUUUCUUUGAAGUAUUUGCUCCCGUUGUUAAAUUGGUUUCUAUUCGGCUUGUUCUUAGUCUUGUUGCUAUGAAUGAUUUGGAACUUGAGCAAUUAGAUGUUAAAACGGCAUUUUUACAUGGAGAUUUAGAAGAAGAAGUUUAUAUAUAUCAACCUCAAGGCUUCAUAGAGAAGGAUAAGGAACAUCUUGUAUGCAAGCUCAAGAAAUCAUUGUACGGGCUCAAACAAGCAUCAAGACAAUGGUAUCGAAAGUUUAACACUUUUAUGCUAAGCCGUGGAUUCCAAAAAAGUAAGUAUGAUUAUUUGUCUACUUAAAAUUCUGCAAAGAUGGUACUUUUAUGGUUUUGGUGUUGUAUGUGGAUGACAUGCUUAUAGUAUGUAAGGACAAACUAAGGAUCAAUGAACUCAAGAGUGAAUUGAGUAAAGCCUUUGAAGUAAAAGAUCUCGGACCGGCACGUCAAAUUCUUGGCAUAGAGAUUUGGCGAGAUAGGCAAAAUGGCACAUUAUCACUUUCACAAAAAGGAUUUGUAGAAAAAUUGGUAUGCAAGUUUGGCAUGAGUAAAGCAAAGGUGUUAAAGACACCAUUUGCAUAUCACUUCAAAUUAUCUUCCGAGCAAAGUCCAAAGACAGAGGAGGAAAAGAAGUUAAUGAAUCAAGUUCCUUAUUCAAGUGUUGUAGGUAGCUUGAUGUUUGCCAUGGUGUGCACACACCCGGACAUUGCAUAUGCCGUUGGUGUUCUUAGCCGGUUUAUGGCAAACCCGGAAAGGUGCAUUAGGAAGCGGCGAAAUGGGUUCUUCGCUAUUUAAGAGGUACAAGUGUGUAAGGACUGAGAUUUUGACAGUGUAGCCAGACUCUCUGUUGACCAUGUUUUUGUGUGUAAUUUAAUUAUAAAAGUACUCGUCAAGUUUCGGGAGAAAACGAAUUAGAAUGGAGAUUUUACGCGAUCUUUACUUUUCACUUAAAGUGAAUAGUAACUCAGUUUUCUGGAGAAGCCACGGUGUAGAGUUGCCUUUCGGCGCGUAUUGGACUCCGUUCAUAGCGAUCCAAUAGCUCGUUUUUAAUGGUUUUGCCAUUCUGGAACCAUUGGCGCUGACGGAUUUCAGGUUUGACACACGGUUUUUGAGAAAACUAAUGAUGCAUAUAUUAUAUGUAUUUGUGUGUCGCUUUGCCAGUUGGAGAGAGGAUAGGUUUUGUCGCGAAUCCGUGACCAAACGAGGCGAAACAAAAUCAUGGGUUUGAUGUCUCUGUCGUGCUGAUCGCAUUGGUGUGAUCCGUUCGCACAUCCGACGGACGGAUCUCCGGAUAUUGUGCGUUGACCGAGAAGGGGUCUUGGAUGGCAAAAUGGUAAUUUUGAGAAAAGGGCAACAUUUUAUGUACCGUUUUAAGUGAAAUCGAUUAUGGGGGUGUGUUCGCGCGUCUUACUCACGCUGUGGAGGGCUUGGUUGAAAUUAACCAUCUUCGGAGGACUAGUUUGUAAUUUAGCCAACUUGUAUAUAAGUAUGUUCUAGGGUUUACUUGGUCCAACCCUAACCCUAGCCCAUGCCACCCUGAGCUGAGACCCUCGCCGUCUCCCUUUCUCCCCCUGACCUAGCCGCGCACCUCCCGGCCGUCCCCCGACCCUCGGCAACCUCCCCCGCCGGUUGCCGUCGUCCCAGUGGGCCGCCGCCGCCCCCUCGGCCCACCUACGGCCGGCCCAGACCUGCUCGGGCUGAGGGUGAAGCAGAGCCUCCCCCUCGUGUCGCAGCUGCUUGGGACCGGCCUCACGGCUUCCCUCUGGCCUCUGGUAGUCCACCGUUGGCGUCCCUAAGCUCCCCGCCGGCCGCCGUGGCCGCAGCUAUCCCUGGACCCGAGCCCUAACCGUGCGGGCUUAGGUUGCUCCACCGCCGCCGCCGCCUCCCGCCGCCAUAAGACGCAAGCCCCGGCCUCCCCACGUGGGCUACACCCGUCAGCCGCCGGCGCGCCCGACGCAGAGCCGCCGACGGCCGUGCCCUAGAUCCCACCGUUCCGAUAAGCAUAGUUUAGGAUUUUUGGUUGUUGUUCUGGUUUGUGCACGAUUUUUUGGAGAUCCGAGAUGCCUCCGAAGGUGAGCACGGUGAUCGCCGGUCAGUGCCAAUCACAGUGCUCACCUCACUUUGGAUCAAUGGAUUCCGAUUUGGCCUGUUCGGCGCAGUUUUUCCCGAGUGUGCGUUGUUUGCAGAAUUUUCAGGUUGCUCCCACGCCUCCCACAGUGAGCCAUUGUGCUCCGGACUGUGAGCACAGCCUCCGGCAUGUCGAGACCUAUCAGUGCAUGUCUCGGCUGAACUCGCAAGUCUUCGGUUUGCGUUAACGAGCCACAAAGUCGCCUUAUAUACAUAAAAUAAUAGGAUUUUAUGUAAAGAGAGGGACUUAUAUGCAAUUGUACAUCUUGUGGCUACUGUAGGCUGUAGGUAAGUGUAUGUGGUGACCUCUGGACUGAUUGUCCAAGGUCCAAUAGCCUUCGUGGAAAUCGAAAGUCGAUUUCGAUGCGUUUGUCGGCGAAAUUCGCCGGCGGAAGGCAGUUUCGAUUCGGAUUUCAUCCGACGGUGUUUGUUUGCCCUGAGGGUUGUCGCUGAGCCUUGUCAACUAGUCACCAUCGUCAUAUCAUGGGUUCGGAGAUGGCGGGUGAGCGACGAUGGGUUCUGGUGCCGAAAUUGACACUUUUGGGAACCCGGAUCCGAACAAUUAUCCGACGAUAAUUGUUUGGUUAUGUAUUCUCGUGUUUGCCGCCAAGAUAUCCAAAUUGAUGAGUUUUGUGGCAGUGGAUGACUCGUGGCACGAGUCAGUGAGUUUCGGGACACUUAGUGGGUCCCGACGGCGUCCCGGUGUGAUUCCGGCAAGUUACGGUGAUCGAUUUUGUAAAACCGAUUUUCGGAGAUUUGUGUGAGGGUUCGUGAGUCGUGUACCUUGGUUUUGUGGGUUGGAUACUGACCCGAUAGAUCUUCGUCGGUCCGGUUGACUUGUGCGCACCCAAUUUUUCGACGCAACAUUGACAGGUGGGUACUUCGAGCUGGUAGUCGGUAAGAUCGUUUCACUUUCCUCUCACUUGCUCUUGCUCUUGUAUAUCAAUACCUUAGUCUCUACAUGUCGGUUACUUUUGUUUAUCGUUCGUAUAUAUACCUUGUUGCUUGCAUGACAGUAGUCGCUGAUAGACAUGUAGAGCAGGCUUGCAUAUGUUGUAUAUCUAUGGACCUUGGGUCCAGACAACACAUCGACUCCUUUGUCGUGUGUUUCGAUUUAGUUGAUUGUGGUUUGGUGUUGUACACCCUUGCAUCUAGCUUCGGCCAAGGCACUAAUUUUCUAUCGGUUUUUGCAUUGAGUAUAUCAGUAUGAUUUAGUCACAGCACUGUGGUGUAGUCCUAAACACCGGUCGGUUUGGCCACCGACCAGGUGGUGUACUUAUCUAGAUGGGUGUCCAGUGGAUGCGUGGAUCAAGUCAGUGUAUGCAUUAUGACAGGCAACGCUUGAGGUCUGCGGACCAAUAUGGCAGGUACCAGAUUGGGUUUGAUUUGAAUUAUUCACCUUUGAGGCAUAUGUUCAGUUGUGAUUCGGUUACAGUAGUAGUUUGAUUCUUGCUCAUUUAUUAUUCUGUUUCUAUUACUACUGUAGUUGCUCUUGUAUCAUGCCAUUUACAUAUCUGUUGUUCUAUCUCCUUUGUUUUUCGGUGAAUACGAUGUGCCUUCGUGGCUCUGUCGUACCCACUAGAAAAUCUUGAUUGUGGUUUCUCACCCCCCAUUUUCCCAGGUGGUUUGGGCAAGGAGUAGACUUUGGGCGCGACGGGAGGACGUACUAGCUAGACUACAGUAGCAACCGUUACCCUAGUUAUGUUUCAUUUCCGCACUUAGUAGUUUUAUUAAUGAACGGUUCAGUUAGAUGAUUAUUAUUGAUAUUUGAAUAUUUGUGAACUGUUUGAAUUGAUUUUCCUAUUAUGCAUGCAAUUGGAGUUUAUGGAUCUUCGGUUUUGGAAUUAUGUAUUUAUACUCUGUGGUUUUCUACCCCUCGAGGUAGUCGGUUUUCAAAAUAGACUUUCCAAGUGGGAAACAGUUUUAAAAAGAUUUUCGAAUGAUUUUAUGGAUGAUUAUAUAGAUUUUAAAAACAAAGCUUCCGAAUGGAAAGCACUUUUAAAUAGGAUGCUUAUUGUACUGUGCAUCGCAUCAUUCAGCGUCUAAAGAGUGUUUAGAGGCAUGCAUCAUCUCUAAGGAUCGCUAGCUGUAUGUAAAUACAUCGCAUAUAUUGGUUGUUGAUUGGUAAAUGUAAGUUGUGGUUGAGGUCCUGAUAUUAUUGUUGGUACGCCGUGCAAAUACAAAGGAGAUUCUGUCCGAGUGGAUAGAGGAACUUUGUAUUUGUGGCGGAUCUAUACGUCACGUGGGCCUGGUUGAAUUCAAAAAAAAAAAUGGCACGUUUUUCGCAACUCUGAUUUCUAAAAUAGUAAUCGUUAUAAAAAGGCUUUUCAAAUCGGCCCCGGGGCGUGACAAAGUGAUUAUGCAAUCAUGUAUGGCAAAAACUCAAGGCCAAUGCAAGGUUAUGUUGAUGCUAAUUUUGCCGGUGAUCUUGAUAGGAGAAGAUCUACAACGGGCUUUGUAUUUGAACAUGAAAAUGGUCCAAUUAGUUGGAUGUCCAAGCUUCAAAUAAUGGUAGCUUUGUCAACCACGGAGGCCGAGUACAUGGCACUUACCGAGGCAACCAAGGUGGCGGUAUGGCUUCAAGGUUUGAUGAAAGAGUUUGGUAUGAAUUUUAAACCCAUGCGUUUAUUAUGUGAUAGUAUGAGCGCAAUAUGUUUGACUAAAAAUCCGGUUUAUCAUAAAGGACUAAACAUAUUGUUGUGCAAUAUCAUUACAUCCGGGAUGUCAUUGAAGACUUCAAGGUGAGGGUGUUGAAAGUUUGCACUCAUGAGAAUGUGGCCGAUAUGCUCAUGAAGCUGGUACAAGUAGAGAAGUUGAAUUGGAGCCUAACUUCUUUAGGCUUCAAGUUGAGCGGAGGAUAAAGUCAUAUGGUUAGCGUGGAGAUGAGGAGCAGUCAUUUUGCUAUCAAGGUGGAGAUUGUUGGGUUAGUGGUAUCAAAUUCACUUAUUAGCCUAAUUGGUUUUAUUUUGGUUUGGUUCAACAACUCAUGUAAUGGACUAAUUAGUAAUUGGUUUGGACUUUAGUUGACUCAUUUGGUAUUUUGGGCCAAGUGAUGUUAAGAGAGAUUCUCUUUGGGUUUAGAAAGAGAGAGUUCUCAUUUUUUGCUCUCUAGGUUUUCCCUUUUCUUGUAAUAGAGAAGAGAGGUGUAGAGAGGGUUGGAGAAUGAGCUCUCUUGUUCUUCUUGCUUGAUUCAAAAGCUUCCAAGGUAGAUUGGAGGAAUUCAAAAAGGUAUUCCGAAGCGGGAUUCACGGAAUCGGAAGGUGCUUCUAGAAGGGAUUUCCAUUGGAAGAUUGUAAGCCCAUUGUAAUAGAGUGGUAAUUUCUAACCAAAUCUUGUAAUCUCCUCAUUUGAUAAUGGAUUUGAUCUCUCCGUGCCUGUGGAUGUAGCCCGAUUUGGGUGAACCACGUAAAUCUUGUAUUGUGGUUGUACUUGAAUUUUUCUUUUUCAACUUCAUUUACUCCAAUCUUGCAUAUCUUGAUUGUGGAUAAUUUAGACACAUCACAUUUGUUUACUAGUGUGAUUUUUUUUUUUUUUUUGAGAGAAUGGUAGCAUGCUAACCGCUUCGUUUAUUUUAUUUAAAAAUAAACUUAGCUAGAAAUGUGAAUCAACUAGGAUUCGAAUUUGGGUCUCGGGUACCAACAAUCAAGCCCUUUUGCCACUUGCGCUAGGGACGGUCAGUGUUUACUAGUGUGAUUAGUAUCUUGAUAGUGAGGGUUCCGUUAUUAGCUCACUACAAUUUUGCUCUUUUAAAAUUUAAAAUUGUUACACUGAACUCAACGUUGUUAUAAUUUUAUCAUAAUUCUGUACAUAAAUUAUAGCACAACUGGAUAAUUGCUUAUAUAGUCAUUUUACCUUAGAAAUGACGAAAAAAGAAAAGAUAAUUAGUAAAUAGCUGGUGUCUUUUUUAUAAAGUUACAUAAUUUGACAGAAAAUAUAGGAUAUUUAUGCAUUCCCACAUUUGUUAAGAAUAUAAUAUGUGUCUCAGCAAGUUUUUCAGUAAUACAGUACAAUUUAUACACAAACUAAUUAAUGAUGAAAUUAUAACCGUGCUAAGUUAAGUGUCGCAACUCACUAUUUUAAGAAGGCAAAUUAAAGGGUUUUAAAAUCCAUGGGGAUUAAAGUGAAGAGGCAAAUAUUUAUAGAAGGAUUUUAUAUAUUUUAACCUAAAAAAUUGGUGUUAAAUAUUUAAGAAUGAUCAUUUAUAGGAGAAAAGUUUACUUCAAACAGGAAAAGAAAAGAAUCGAUCAUCCAAGUGCAAAUGACAAAGGACUUGGUAAUUGAUACUCGAGGUCCCGAUUUCAAAGCCUAAUUAAUUGUGUUACAUUUCCAGGUAAAUUUAAUUUUUUAAAAAAUAAACAAAGUAGCUAGAAAGCUAUUUUUCUCUCUCAAAAAAAUGCUAAUAUAGAGAAGAAUACAUCUCCAAAUUAUGCAAUUUUUUGGGAUAUAACUCAUAAGCAAAACGUUUGUAUAGUAAUUGAGAUACAAUUUCACUAGUUAGGAUUAAAAUAUUUUGAGUCGACACUUUAAAAGUGUAGACUCUAAGUUUCAAUACAUUAUUGGGCCAGAAAGAUGCAUGUGACGAAACUACGCAAUUUCACCAUGUUCCAUUUUCUAAGGGGACGAUAGAAAUUGCAUCUUAAUUAUGGACUUAGUAUAAUCUAUUCAACAUGCUAUUUAUUAACAAAAUAAAUAAAAUAUUUUUCAAUCAUAUAUAUUUCACUACUGUACGUAAUCCAUACCCCCUACAAUUCCAAACAAGCCUAUAUAAGUAGGUUUACUUUGACUUGUUAGUUUUGUUUGUCGCAGUGGCUUAAUGCGACCGCAGUUGCUCGAAUAGCCCCUAGAUUUCAAAAUUCAUUGGCACGCUCCCUGUGAAUUAGGAUCACUACAAGACUAAUGAAAUUAAUUACUCAUGACUACCAAAAUUUAAUUUUUUUUAACUAAAAUAUGUUCGUACUAAUAAAACAUUGCACCUUGACUAGAAAAUUUUCCUUUUUCGAGCGUUUCAGUGCACUACUAAAUUAUUUUUUCAUGACCACAAAAAUUUUUCUGGAGAGAGUAUGUACAUCUAACUGCUAAAACUAGUAAGUUGAAAUUAUUAUUUGUCCCAAUAAUUAAUGCUGACUAGUCCGCCACAUACACUGUCUUUUUCUCUGACUUGUGGAACAAUCAAAAUGAAUCUUUUUUUUUUUUCCCUCACUAUUUUAGCGUUAUAUAUUGGUGUUCAAAUGGUCAAUUGUGGAGACUUACUACCAUUGACCAUAAACAAGGAUGUGUAAUGGAUGUGUUACUAAUUAAUUGUUCCAUGAUAAGGUAAAUAUUUUGCUUAGUUACUAAUUAAAAACCCUCUUAUACUUUAUCCCAUGUCUCAAAUAUCUUCCAGUGAUAAAAAAUAUAUAUAUAAAUAAUUAAUGUCGGCCAUGCACUUUAGUUUUGUCUCAAACAUGCAAGUCCAUGUGUUAGAAAUUUUUGUUAAUUUCAAUUAAUGGUAGCAUGUGGAGAUAACAUAUUUUGAAACCCAUAUAUUUAAGCUCAGCCACACACUUUCGAGUAUCAAAACCUAAGAGGAAGGUGAAAAAGUUUAAAUGUUUUUAAUAUAUGUCCGAUGAUCGCGCUAACAUGCAUUGCCAUCAAUAAUUAACGUAUAUAAUCUUCAAAUCAUUGGUCCCAUUUGAAGCAAGACUGUAGAGGGCAUGCAACGGCGUACGUAGCCAACGUCGUCCAAAAAUGAAUGACAAGUAGUAUAUUUAAUUAGAAGGCGCCGGUGCAUGGCUUGGGUACGUAAUCGGCCAUUAAUUGCUGCGAGUGGUAGUGGAGCUUAAUUGGGUGGUCUUCGGAAACGACUUGUUGGGAUCAUCAGUCAUCAUUAUCAUAUAAUAUAUAUCUUAUCUGUAGGAAUUCUGAUUCUUGCAGAAGCUCCACCACUUGCUCGACGGAGAGUCCAAAAAGACAGGAGGAAGAAUGUAAGAAGGGUACGUAGAACGGUUAAUUAUAAAAAUUAGGAACAUAUAUAUAUUUAAGGAAAAACUUCAAAUGCCACCUUAGUGGUUUCGCACUUUCUCACUUCAGUAUCCUAUGGUUUACAAUAUAUUACUUUCUUCAUACCCUAUGGUUUUAUUUUUUUCUUUUUAUUAUUCUCUCCGUUAAUUUUUUUUUUCUUUUGUUAAAUCAAUGACAAAUUUAAAACUAAAGAAUACUAAGGUGAAUAUUCGAUAUACUAUAGGUUGGGUAUCUGAAGUUUUUUGUAUUUGAUUUAACGGAAAAUUAACGGAGGGACUGCGGAAAAGAGAAAAAUAAAACCACGGGGUACUAAAUUAAUAUACUUUAAAUUACAGAGUAUUAAAGUGAGAAAGUACGAAACCAGUACAGGAGUGGUAUUUGAAUUAAGUUUACCCUAAUUAGAAAAAUUAGGAACAUAUAUUUAAUAAAGGAAAAUUGCGAUCG
rnacentral:lncRNA from 1 species